UACGGAAGGCAGCAGUGGGGAAUAUUGCACAAUGGGCGCAAGCCUGAUGCAGCCAUGCCGCGUGUAUGAAAAAGGCCUUCGGGUUGUAAAGUACUUUCAGUCGUGAGGAAGGUGUUAAGGUUAAUAACCUUAGCAAUUGACGUUAGCGACAGAAGAAGCACCGGCUAACUCCGUGCCAGCAGCCGCGGUAAUACGGAGGGUGCGAGCGUUAAUCGGAAUUACUGGGCGUAAAGGGCACGCAGGCGGUUAAUUAAGUUGGAUGUGAAAUCCCCGGGCUUAACCUGGGAAUGGCAUUCAAGACUGGUUAGCUAGAGUCUUGUAGAGGGGGUAGAAUUCCAUGUGUAGCGGUGAAAUGCGUAGAGAUGUGGAGGAAUCCGGUGGCGAAGGCGGCCCCUGGACAAAGACUGACGCUCAUGUGCGAAAGCGUGGGGAGCAAACGAGGGAUUAGAUACC
rnacentral:rRNA from 1 species